GGCAGGCCAUGAGAAGGGGUCAUAGGACUCGUGGUAGGUUUCAUAGAAUCUGGUGGAGGUGGAACAUUCAGUUGGAUGACCAGCACUCCAAAGUAUGGAGUGGCACUCUGAUGGCAAGUCCUGGGGAAAGACCCAGCACCUCAUGCUAGUUCCGCUGCCAAGUCCUAUUCCUGUAAACAUUUUAUUCUGUUUCACUGGACUUCAGGCAGAAUUCCUGUUAGCUCGAUACGGGGCAUGUUGGCUGCUGGAGCCUAAACAAUCUGCAUGGAUGAGCAGGAAAUGCUGAAGUACUUGGGAGUCGCCAAAUUUGAGGACAAGCAGGAACAAGUAACCCAUCUUGUGUAUCAGGAAGAUGAUGCAGGAUUCUUUAUUUUAUUGUAAAAAUUUAUUCUGAACUUAGUGACCAUCACCAGAGACAU